rnacentral:rRNA from 1 species
UACAGAGGUCCCAAGCGUUGUUCGGAUUUACUGGGCGUAAAGGGUGCGUAGGCGGUUGGGUAAGUCUGACGUGAAAUCUCCGGGCCUAACCCGGAAACUGCGUUGGAUACUACCUGACUAGAGGAAUGGAGGGGAGACUGGAAUACUUGGUGUAGCAGUGAAAUGCGUAGAUAUCAAGUGGAACACCAGUGGCGAAGGCGAGUCUCUGGACAUUUCCUGACACUGAGACACGAAGGCCAGGGGAGCAAACGGG